rnacentral:rRNA from 1 species
ACGAACGCUGGCGGCGUGCCUAACACAUUCAAGUCGAACGGAAAGGCCCUGCUUUUGUGGGGUGCUCGAGUGGCGAACGGGGGAGUAACACGUGAGUAACCUGCCCUUGACUUUGGGAUAACUUCAGGAAACUGGGGCUAAUACCGGAUAGGAGCUCCUGCUGCAUGGUGGGGGUUGGAAAGUUUCGGCGGUUGGGGAUGGACUGGCGGCUUAUCAGCUUGUUGGUGGGGUAGUGGCUUACCAAGGCUUUGACGGGUAGCCGGCCUGAGAGGGGGACCGGCCACAUUGGGACUGAGAUACGGCCCAGACUCCUACGGGAGGCAGCAGUGGGGAAUAUUGCCCAAUGGGCGGAAGCCUGAUGCAGCAACGCCGCGUGCGGGAUGACGGCCUUCGGGUUGUAAACCGCUUUCGCCUGUGACGAAGCGUGAGUGACGGUAAUGGGUAAAGAAGCACCGGCUAACUACGUG